rnacentral:rRNA from 1 species
GACGAACGCUGGCGGCGUGCUUAACACAUGCAAGUCGAACGGAAAGGCCCUGCUUUUGUGGGGUGCUCGAGUGGCGAACGGGUGAGUAACACGUGAGUAACCUGCCCUUGACUUUGGGAUAACUUCAGGAAACUGGGGCUAAUACCGGAUAGGAGCUCCUGCUGCAUGGUGGGGGUUGGAAAGUUUCGGCGGUUGGGGAUGGACUCGCGGCUUAUCAGCUCGUUGGUGGGGUAGUGGCUUACCAAGGCUUUGACGGGUAGCCGGCCUGAGAGGGUGGCCGGCCACAUUGGGACUGAGAUACGGCCCAGACUCCUACGGGAGGCAGCAGUGGGGAAUAUUGCACAAUGGGCGGAAGCCUGAUGCAGCAACGCCGCGUGCGGGAUGACGGCCUUCGGGUUGUAAACCGCUUUCGCCUGUGACGAAGCGUGAGUGACGGUAAUGGGUAAAGAAGCACCGGCUAACUACGUG